rnacentral:tRNA from 1 species
GGGCGCAUAGCUCAGUUGGUUAGCGCGCGUGCCUCACAUGCACGAGGUCGUUGGUUCAAGUCCAAUUGCGCCCACCA